GGAUUCUAUGAUUCUGCCACCAACAGCCUUUUGCCUCCCAUUCCCAGAACGUGCAGAAAACAGUAAAUUAGGGGUGUGGGUAGAUGCAGUGUGCUAAACACAAGAAAGUCCAAAGGAAGGUGGGAUUCAGCAGGUACCUGGGUGGGACCCUGGUGACUGGUUUGUAAAUAUGCUGAGUGCUCACAGCUGCAGCUGAAGUUGGAGGAAAAUGCACUUUCAAUAGGAAGUGCUCAAUCCAGCUACGCACCCCGAAGCGUCGGAUUCAUACCUGGGUAUCCAAAAUGAGUGUGUAACUGCAAAUGAAAUCUCCUCGUGCCUCGCUUCCCUGCCAGAAGACAAGAGUUAACAACGAUCUGUUAUCUCACUGUGGUGGCAAGAAAAUAGCCGGACUGAAUUUGUGAACUGCUCAGCCACUGCAGCGAGAUGCACUAAGAGAGAAAGCCUGCAGGAAAUUAAUAAUUCUGUCCUCUGAGAAAGCUUUGAAAUGUGUGGAGCAAAUCGAGCCUGGCUGACACACUGAGAGACAAGGAAAAACAAAGCACGGGACAACGGCUCAGCCUGCGGAGAGCAGUCUGUCCUGAGAGAGAAAUGCUGUGUGAUUGUAUGGGGAUGAACAAAUGAUGGCUGCCCCAAGGAGCCUGAGAUGGGAUCUUUCUUUUUCCCAGCCUUAAUAGGAAGGGCUCUAUU
rnacentral:lncRNA from 1 species